AAUGAAAUAAAUAUUAUCUUUAAUACAUCACAACAGGUGUCCGAAAUUUUGAUUAUCCUGAUCGCUCAACAUUUACCCACCUGGCUAUCAAGAAAGCAAUAGAGUUGCUGAACAACUCAACUAGGUCACAGGUGAACAAGGCCAUCCUUAUCAUAACAGAUGGACAGUCCACUAACAGGACUGAGACUCUGAGUCAAGGUAACUUGGCUAAAACCAAAGGGAUCAGCGUUUGGGGCAUUGGAGUGGGGAAAAUUGCAGACCUUGCGGAAUUGGCCAGCAUAGCUUCCAAUGGAAAUAGCCAGGUCUUCAGUUCCAGUUCCUACACAGCUCUUUCACUACAGCUUAAAGAUCUCACAAAAAUUGUUUGCGUCAGCACAAAUGCCCAGAAGUAAAAAGGGAGAUAAUUACGAAAAAGAAGUAUGUCCUCUUUAACUCAGAAUUUCUUGUUAUCCUGAUUUGUAUUUAUAAAUUUGUUCCUGAUUGAAUGUCAAAAUAAUUUAAUAAAAUAUAAGAAACAUGA
rnacentral:sRNA from 1 species